rnacentral:rRNA from 1 species
CCCCGCACAAGCAGCGGAGCGUGUGGUUUAAUUCGAUGCUACACGAAGAACCUUUACCAGGGCUUGACAUCCCUUGAAGCAGCUAGAGAUAGCUGUGUCCUUCGGGACAAGGAGACAGGUGGUGCAUGGUUGUCGUCAGCUCGUGUCGUGAGAUGUUGGGUUAAGUCCCGCAACGAGCGCAACCCCUAUUGUUAGUUGCCAUCAUUCAGUUGGGCACUCUAGCGAGACUGCCGGUAAUAAACCGGAGGAAGGUGGGAUGACGUCAAAUCAUCAUGCCCCUUAUGACCUGGGCUACACACGUGCUACAAUGGUUGGUACAACGAGUUGCGAGUCGGUGACGGCGAGCUAAUCUCUUAAAGCCAAUCUCAGUUCGGAUUGUAGGCUGCAACUCGCCUACAUGAAGUCGGAAUCGCUAGUAAUCGCGGAUCAGCACGCCGCGGUGAAUACAUUCCCGGGCCUU